GUUAGGUUGAAGCUAAAAAUAAAAAUGUGUGAAGAUUUGGUGCAAGCUUUCUUUGCUUCGAUUAGAGAAGAAGAAGACUAACAAUUAAAGAAUUUGAUAUUGAGCAAUUUAAUGAAGCUGUUCGGGUGUUGGAUGUGCUUCUUUGGCAACAUGCUGCCAAACAAGGAUGUCUAAUAGUUAGACAAUGUUUCUUUCACAAUGAUCCAAGAAACUCCAUCAGCAUCGGAGGUGGGAUAGUGGGCUGCCGAGGGUUUCACUCCAGUUUUCGGGCCAAGAAACUCCAAGAAACUGCCAAAGCAAGGUUACUGAUUAAAUCUAUAAGUUCUGAUUAAUCAUGGCUUUUGAUUUAUUUGCAGAUGUGUCAACCACAAUGAUUGUAAGGCCCGGAAAAGUCGUGGACUUCCUUCUGGAGAAUCAGAACGUUCGUAACAUGAGGGACAUCGACUGGAUAAAAGUAACAAGUUAUAUUCAUUUAAGAUUUUCACAUACACAAGCUUCACCGAGAACAACUAUUAGGAAGCACGAGCACGAGCUAUUUAAUUUUGCAGCCUAUGUCAUUCACUAAAGCAUGUGAGUUAUGUCAAAACAUGGUUUGAGAGUGAAAAGGAUGUCCGCUUUGGUGAUUGGAAAAAGAACCAGUUUAAACACCUCAUUCAAUAUUGAUGCAAAGAUGCUGAUGAUGGUGACGAUGAUGAAAAGGCAUUUACUGGAUAACUGAAACAGGCCAUGGAGGUUGGAUCCGUUGGAAAGGGUUAUGAUGAGGAUGUUGACGGGGUUAGCAGCAGUGUGAUCCUGAUCUUGCUGGUCUAUGGUGCGACAUCAAGAUGUUAUGGGUGUCAAUGUUCGGGGAUGAGGUUGACGACUCGACAAAUCGCCCCAGGAAUGAUUUAACAAAUGCAUCAUGUUUAACAGAAUGUAGAGGUUCUGGUCUUCUUAACUCUAACGCAUCCGGCUAUAAUGAUGUAAACACAUAUAGAUGGACAUUACAUAUGGCAACGAGACGAACAUUUCCUUGACAAACAAUGAUGCCUCUAAAGCUGGAGAUCCUGGAGUUGCUGGCAUUCCUUUUGUUUUCUUAGAAUAACUCCUGUUAUUUGUGGAAAAGUCAGAUCCAACAAGCCUAGGGUAAAAUUAUAGUUUAUGACUACUUAAGACUACACGUUUUAUGCAUUUUUUUAGGUUAUCUUAAAGAAGGUGGUUGUUUUCAAAA